UUUGUCAACAAAGUAACUUCAAAAGUUACUGCUCUUCGUUCCUCAUCCCUGAGCUCUCAAUCUCUCUCUUGCUUAUGCUUCUCCGACAUAGCCAAAUCCUCUCCGACGAAGCCGUUACCUCUCCGACAACCACCAUCAAGCCGUUUCCUCUCUUCUCAGUUCAAAAACGAAGUUUUCUUCUCCUUCUCUGUUCAAAUACGAAAGUCGCCUUCAAUAUAUGGCUGGAGGUUUAUCUGAACGAGGAAGGGGCCGUGGACGAGGAAGGGGUCGUGGACGAGGGAGGGUAGAACCACAACUAAGUGCAAGAAAGUUAAACUUCGAUAACACCGACUUUGAUGAGGAGCCUAGUGGAAGUGAUUCUGAAUAUACCGGUCAAAGUGAUGAACAG